AUUGAACGCUGGCGGCAUGCUUUACACAUGCAAGUCGAGCGGCAGCGGGGGCUUCGGCCUGCCGGCGAGUGGCGAACGGGUGAGUAAUGCAUCGGAACGUGCCCAUGUCGUGGGGGAUAACUACGCGAAAGCGUGGCUAAUACCGCAUACGCCCUGAGGGGGAAAGCGGGGGAUCUUUCGGGACCUCGCGCGAUUGGAGCGGCCGAUGUCGGAUUAGCUAGUUGGUGGGGUAAAGGCUCACCAAGGCGACGAUCCGUAGCUGGUCUGAGAGGAUGAUCAGCAACACUGGGACUGAGACACGGCCCAGACUCCUACGGGAGGCAGCAGUGGGGAAUUUUGGACAAUGGGCGCAAGCCUGAUCCAGCCAUGCCGCGUGAGUGAAGAAGGCCUUCGGGUUGUAAAGCUCUUUCGGCCGGGAAGAAAUCGCAUUCUCUAAUACAGGAUGUGGAUGACGGUACCGGACUAAGAAGCACCGGCUAACUACGUGCCAGCCGCCGCAGUAACAC
rnacentral:rRNA from 1 species